GUGCCAGCCGCCGCGGUAAUACCGGCAGCUCAAGUGAUGUCCCAUAUUAUUGGGCCUAAAGCGUCCGUAGCUGGCCGACCAAGUCUCCCGGGAAAUCCACCCGCCCAACGGGUGGGCGUCCGGUAGAAACUGGCCGGCUUGGAACCGGAAGGCUCAGAGAGUACGUCCGGGGUAGGAGUGAAAUCCUAUAAUCCCGCACGGACCACCGAUGGCGAAAGCACUUCGAGAAAACGGAUCCGACAGUGAGGGACGAAAGCCAGGGUCUCCAACCGGAUUAGAUACCCCAGUUCC
rnacentral:rRNA from 1 species